rnacentral:rRNA from 1 species
AUUGAACGCUGGCGGCAGGCCUAACACAUGCAAGUCGAGCGAGCGUCGGACGGGUGCGUAAUGUAUGGGGACUGCCCGAUAGAGGGGGAUAACUACUGGAUACGGUAGCUAAUACCGCAUACUAUCGGAUAACCCAUAUGGGAUUAGCUAGUAGGUGAGGUAAUGGCUAACCUAGGCGACGAUCCCUAGCUGGUCUGAGAGGAUGAUCAGCCACACUAGGAAUGAGAAACGGACCAGACUCCUACGGAGGCAGCAGUGGGGAGUAUUGCACAAUAGGCGCAAGCCUGAUGCAGCCAUGCAGCGAGUAUGAAGAAGGCCCUAGGGAUGUAAAGUACUAUCAUUCGGGAGGCGUUACCGACGGAAGAAGAACCGGCUAACUCCGUGCCAGCAGCCGCGGUAAUUC